AGAAAGUUUGAUUCUUUCUUUUAUCUUUAUAACUGUGAUUUAAAUUGUAUGAGAAUUGUUGUAUGUAUAAUGUAAAAGGUUUAAUAUCUUAAAUAAAAAAUAAAGGUGUCUUAUAAAAAAUAAAAUCUCAGCAAAAAGUAUUAAGUGAUUUAUGAUAAUAAGACUUAGAAGUAACUUAAAAUUUGAUUAAAUAUUGUGCCAGCAGUCGCGGUUAGACUUUAAAGUUAAAUAAAGAUGUUUUAGGAAAAGUUAAGAAAAUAAUUUAAUAAGGAAAUUAAAGGAAUAAAAGGUGAAAUUAGAUUAUUUCUUUUAAUAAGUGUAUAAGUAAAACUGAAGCUAAAAAUUAUUAGAGUUAAACUAGGAUUAGAUACCCUAUUAUACUAAUAAAUAUUAGUAAACCUAAAUUAUUAAUAGAUAUAUUCUUUAAAUUUGAAGAAUUUGGCGGUGACUUAAUCUUGUUAGAGGAACCUGUUUUUGAAUCGAUACACCACGUGAAAUCUUACUUUCUUUAUUAAGUUUGUAUACCGUCAUUAUCAGAUAAUUUUUAAAGGAUUAAUUAUUAAAUUUUAUAUAAAUAUAAAUUAACUUAGAUCAAGGUGCAGCUAAUAAGAUAGUUAAAAUAGGUUACAAUAAAAUUUAUUUAUUACGAAGUAAAAAAUAGAAUGAAAUUAUGAAGGAGGAUUUAAUUGUAAUUUAAGUUUAAUAAGCUUAAAAGAUAUAAGCUCUAAGUUAUGUACAUAUCGCCCGUCGCUCUCAUUAUACAGAUGAGAUAAGUCGUAACAUAGUAGAUUUACUGGAAGGUAAAUCUAGUUUGAA
rnacentral:ncRNA from 1 species